GAGAAAUCGUAAGCAUCCACCUGGGAGUACGCCGGCAACGUGAACUCAAAGGAAUUGACGGGGCCCGCACAAGCGGAGGACAUGUGUUAUUCGAUGAUACGCGAGGAACCUUACCCGGGCUUGAACUGCAGGAGAACGAUACAGAGAUGUUGAGUCCUUCGGGACUCCUGUGGAGUGCUGCAUGGUUGUCGUCAGCUCGUGCCGUGAGGUGUCGGCUUAAGUGCCAUAACGAGCGCAACCCUUUUCGUCAGUUGCCAUCAGGUGAAGCUGGGCACUCUGGCGAUACUGCCACCGUAAGGUGUGAGGAAGGUGGGGAUGACGUCAAAUCAGCACGGCCCUUACGUCCGGGGCUACACACGUGUUACAAUGGGGAGUACAGAGAGUCAACCGCCGGCAACGUCGGUUUAAUCAAGAAAGCUCUCCUCAGUUCGGAUUGGGGUCUGCAACCCGACCCCAUGAAGCUGGAUUCGCUAGUAAUCGCGCAUCAGCCAUGGCGCGGUGAAUACGUUCCCGGGCCUUGUACACACCGCCCGUCAAGCCAUGAAAGCCGGGGGCGCUUGAAGUCCGUGACCGCAAGGAUCGGCCUAGAGCGAAACUGGUAAUUGGGGUU
rnacentral:rRNA from 1 species